rnacentral:ncRNA from 1 species
ACGAGCCACAUGCAGGGAAACUUGCGCGUGUGGUUCUGGCCGGGGACCCCUGCUUCCGCACUUGCGUUGUGAUUUUUGCAGAAACCCCCUUGUUAUUUUCGGU